UACAGAGGUCUCAAGCGUUGUUCGGAUUUACUGGGCGUAAAGCGUGCGCAGGCGGUUCGUUGUGUCUGUGGUGAAAGCCCCGGGCUUAACCUGGGAAUGGCCAUGGAAACUGGCGAGCUGGAGUGUGGCAGAGGGGGGUGGAAUUCCGCGUGUAGCAGUGAAAUGCGUAGAUAUGCGGAGGAACACCGAUGGCGAAGGCAAUCCCCUGGGCCUGCACUGACGCUCAUGCACGAAAGCGUGGGGAGCAAACAGG
rnacentral:rRNA from 1 species